GGAGCUGUAGUGUAGCGGUUAUCACGUCGGCCUGUCACGCCGAAGAUCGCGGGUUCGAUUCCCGUCAGCUCCG
rfam:Desulfonispora thiosulfatigenes DSM 11270 genome assembly, contig: Dest_Contig00030